rnacentral:rRNA from 1 species
UACGGAGGGGGCUAGCGUUGUUCGGAAUUACUGGGCGUAAAGCGCGCGUAGGCGGCUUUGUAAGUUAGAGGUGAAAGCCCAGAGCUCAACUCUGGAACUGCCUUUAAGACUGCAUCGCUAGAAUCAUGGAGAGGUGAGUGGAAUUCCGAGUGUAGAGGUGAAAUUCGUAGAUAUUCGGAAGAACACCAGUGGCGAAGGCGACUCACUGGACAUGUAUUGACGCUGAGGUGCGAAAGCGUGGGGAGCAAACAGG